AUAGAGGCUGUUGGUCCGAUAAUAUAAAUACAUUCAGGAGCAUGAAUUUUCAUAAUUGUGGUUUAAAACAUAGAAGUAGCUGUGCAAGAAAUUAAGACUUAAAGCAGAGGCUUUAGUAACUGCUACCGUUUAGCUGUUUACUGUGUUUACUGCUUGUGUGAAAUGGCACAAGACAAACAAAGACCUUAGAGUAGAAUGAUGGUGGCGGUGACAGUGUGUAUGCGUCCUUAUAGAUGUGUAGACGCAGCAUUAGAAUGAUGACUGCGUUUUUCACUGCUUUCUGGAGCCAGUGCUUGGAUUUCCAUAUACGGUUUGUGUCUCUAUGGGGUUUAUGAUCCACAUACAGCUGACCUCUGAGUACAAACAUGUCAGAGGAGAUGGAUUCACGCAGGCUGUCUCUCCUUUUUGGGUUAUUUAGACCAGCACAGAUCCUUUGCCGGCUUUUACAGCUUCCACUCCGUUAAACCUCCCUCCAGCUCAGAUUCGUCAGAAUUAAUUAUUCACUAAGCCCACAAAAAUGUAUGAUUAGUAAUUAUGAAAAAUCUGGUCGGACAAUAUAUAUAGUUGGUAUUAUUAGUCACACUUAUGAAUAUGAGCUAAACCUGUGUGACACAGGUCUCAACAGGUUCCACACUUUACUGUAGACGACACUGAAAUCAGACUUGAACAUUGGAUUGAUCCAUGUUGCAGUUCUGAUCUUUACAGUAGCUCCACACGCUGAGGAAAAGCCUGAACCUGCAGGAGACGGAGGGACUCGUCACAUGACAAAUGUCACUUUCUUCCAGUUUGCUGACGCUCUAUCGCGGAAUGGGAAGGGUCCAGUUCACGCGAUCCGGCGGAACCUCCACAAUGUUCUUCCUGUGGAGCCUCUGUCUAGGUCUGCUCUGGUCUCAACACACCACUGCCUCAGAUAAAGCGGUGUCAGUGACGUGCAACCAAACGGUGGAAGUUCAGGCCGGAGAAGCCGUGACACUAAACUGCAGCAUUCACAUGGCUUUGGACGGUGAUUGCGCCGGUUUUAUGUAUAGGUGGUACAACACCAGUGGCCUGGUACCGUGUACCGACGGCUCCGCGAAAUACACCUGUGGAUGGAAUAAUCGGACCUACGUGUCACUGAUCCUCUCAGAUGUGAUGGAGCAGGAGAAUUACACUGUUAGCAUAUUCACAGACUGUGGCCUGGAUGAAGCCUCUGUCUCUGUGUGGGUGAAACGCCCCGACUACAACACUAAUGGUCAAGUUGAAUCUAAAGGAAACAGCAUCGCUACACAGAAAUGUAACACGUGGGUCCAAUUAUUGGUUGUUAUUUGCGUCCUCUGUGUUGUUGUAGUUGUUGGACUUUUACUAUAUAAAAAAAAGUGCAAAGACGAGAUACGUGAAAACCUCAUCUCUUGAUGUGCAUAAAGGCGACAGGUGGUUAUAAUAUGAAGCCCGUGUUAACAAUAUCAUAAGUAUUACCUGUGUUAACGAACACAUGAAAAACCUCUGUUAAACAGCUUUGUGUGCUGCUGCCAGCCCAGGAGGUUGUGUGAUUGUCUGCCUGCAUGGUACAUGUGGGCCUGUGAUGGACAGGCGGCCUGCCUGGGCCACGCCUGGCUAAGCCCCGCCCCCUCACUCAUUAGGGAGCCUGCUCGUCUGGUUUUACAUUCAAACACUGUGACUUCUCCACUACCAGAGAAAAAUGAGUUUGUGUGCAUUAAUCUAUGCAUUAUUGUAACAUGAACUUAUCUGAACAUGCACCCGCUGCUUUAUCUCCAUGAGUAAUAAAGUCUCUCU